rnacentral:lncRNA from 1 species
UUUUUUUUUAAACGUAAUUCUUGGAAGACGAGGAAGUCAUGCACAUCUUGCUUGAAAUUUAACCAGUAAAAGUAAGUUGGAUGGUGAUUAGCCAGUCUUCGAUUGGAUCAUUAUUAUUUUAUUUGGGAAUAUUAAGAUUUGUUUAAAUUUUUAAUGAUCUACAUCUAGCAGCCAGUAGUAGAAAUGUAUUUUGUGAGUUUUCCCCCACUUUGUUUUUUUGAUUGUAAAUUGCCUGAGGGCUUAAGUUUUAUUGCCUUUCACAGAAUGGCGUAGAUACAGUGGAAAUGGUUUUCCUUAAAACCAUCUCUUUAGAGCUGCCUUUCUGGUGAGUACUGCUUUAUAAUUUUUGUAUCACAGUUUUAUUUUUUUAAGCUAGCUGGAAGGUGACAGUGAUUGAAAUGAGCAGUUUUCAAAGCUUGGAUCAGAACCUUAAGAUGACAGUUACUGCCUGAUAAUUCCCUAUGUUUCCUAUUUAGAUUCUUUUUUUUUCCCCUUACUUUCCUAAAGUACCGUAUGCACAUAAACAUUGAACACAGAUUAUUUCCUUUGGUGAGGAAAAAUAAUUGUUAAUAAUUAUUAAAAUUAUAAAAAUUGUUAGAAACGGGAGAGAUGGCUUCAUAGUUAAGACCAUGUCAUAUUCCAGGUGUGGUAGCACACACUCUGGAGACAGAGGCAAGUGGAUCUCUUAGUUCCCAGUACAACCAGGGUUGCGUGAAGGAGUCGUGUCCCCCCCCUACCCCCAGC